rnacentral:rRNA from 1 species
CCUCGACUUCGGAAGGGGUGUAUUUAUUAGAUAAAAAACCAAUGCCCUUCGGGGCUCCUUGGUGAUUCAUAAUAACUUAACGAAUCGCAUGGCCUUGCGCCGGCGAUGGUUCAUUCAAAUUUCUGCCCUAUCAACUUUCGAUGGUAAGAUAGUGGCUUACCAUGGUCUCAACGGGUAACGGGGAAUUAGGGUUCUAUUCCGGAGAGGGAGCCUGAGAAACGGCUACCACAUCCAAGGAAGGCAGCAGGCGCGCAAAUUACCCAAUCCCAAUUCGGGGAGGUAGUGACAAUAAAUACUGAUACGGGGCUCUUUCGGGUCUCGUAAUUGGAAUGAGUACAAUCUAAAUCCCUUAACGAGGAACAAUUGGAGGGCAAGUCUGGUGCCAGCAGCCGCGGUAAUUCCAGCUCCAAUAGCGUAUAUUAAAGUUGUUGCCGUUAAAAAGCUCGUAGUUGAACCUUGGACCUGGCUGAUCUGUCCUCCUAAUCGAGCGCACGGAUUCGGUCGGGUCUUUCCUUCUGGGGAGCCCUAUGCCCUUCACUGGGUGUAGUGGGGAACCAGGACUUUUACCUUGAAAAAAUUAGAGUGUUCAAAGCAGGCCUUUGCUCGAAUACAUUAGCAUGGAAUAAUAGAAUAGGACAUCGGUUCUAUUUUGUUGGUUUCUAGGACCGCUGUAAUGAUUAAUAGGGAUAGUCGGGGGCGUCAGUAUUCAAUUGUCAGAGGUGAAAUUCUUGGAUUUAUUGAAGACUAACUACUGCGAAAGCAUUCGCCAAGGAUGUUUUCAUUAAUCAGUGAACGAAAGUUAGGGGAUCGAAGACGAUCAGAUACCGUCGUAGUCUUAACCAUAAACUAUGCCGACUAGGGAUCGGACGGUGGUUUUUUUAUGCCCCGUUC